CUCCAGCACCGAGCUGCAAAGAGGACCGCAUUGUUUACGUCACUUUUUCAUUAUUCAUAAAGUGCAGUAGGCCUACACCCUCACCGAGGCCCGGAGAGUGGGGCGACUUUACGCCGUGGGGCUCAUUAACGCUGCUGCUGGUGACCCUGGAGGAGCCCUGUGGCAUCAUGUGCACACUCCUGAGCUGUCAUGCAGCAUAAAACGCCAUAGUCCCACUAGUUUUGUCACAUUUAUAAUGCAAUAUCCUCUUUUCUGUUGCAUAGACUGACGUGGCACAUCCACAAGCCUCAUCCUGGAUGCAUUUCUUUCAUGUAAUUCAACUUCAAACGUAAAAUUUGCAGCGUCACAUGAUAAUGAUGACGCACAUUUCAUCCUCCACGUUUCCUCAAAAAGUGCCCCAACUGCGGCUUUAAAUAUUAGCAGACUACACACAGGUUUAUUCAGCUUAUGCCCAUCAGUAUUCAGUCCACAACCACCGCGUGUGCGUCUGCGCCAGCGUCACUUUACGCACGGACGCCAGCAGCUAAAUAUAGUUUUCUAUGUCAGCGCGUGUCAGGGGAGAUGAAUCUCCAUCGCCUGUUCCGAACUCAAAGCUGACAGCCAACCAGACCAUAUCUGCCUUGUAAAUGAAAACGGCCACCAGCAGCAGUAGGUACUCUGUGCUUCACCUGCUGACAUGGUGUAUUUCCGUGUGGAUGAAAAACAUAAAAUGCACCUUGAGCUGUUUUGGGCAGUAAGAAGACACCCUCUGGAAAUUCCCCAUCAUAAGGUCCCAGAUGGGACGAUCCCACCAGCGAGGGGGCAGGUGUGGUGAACACGGUUGGUGCUGAGCACCAGUGAUUAGCCAGACCCCAGUAAGUGCUGCAGGGAGUUAAAUGGGGCUGGCUGCCAGCUGCUGAUGUCUGCUGAUGAGGAGCUGGGGGAGGGUGGGUCAGCCAGUGUGGUGGGUGGAGGCAGGGGUGGUGUUCAGGAGAGGAAGAGGGGGUCGGGGUCCGUUCUGUGACUCCCAGCUGCCCUUCCACAUGCAGAAUCUGACACAUCAGUCCAAACCUGAGCAUAGUUCUGAAUAUUUAUUUUCACUCUUGGAUGUAACGGCACCUGAAUGUGUCAGGGGAACAAAUGUAAAUGUGUUUCUGUAGAUGUUCAUUAAUGUGCAAAAUCCAGAAAUUCACCAUCAGUUACUCUACGGUUCAUAGUAGGGAUUGACGUUUUGUUGUUUUUAUGAUCGAUACUGAUUAUUGGUAAUCAAGAAAGGCUGUUGACCAAUAUUUGAAACUGAUGUACAUUAAAUGUAAUGUUUUACCAGCAUGUGACAGCAGAAAACCUGUCAUUUUUAACUAGGUUUCUUCAUUAAUAAGGAUGACUAUAACUGAGUAUGUAAAAUAGAAAUAGGAGUGAUUCAAUUAGGAUGCUCUCCUCUGUUUAUGUGGGACUGGGAUUGAUCAGUUUGUCUCCUGCCGCUACGUGUGCUGUUCUUCUGUAUUUCCUUCACUGUUCUGUCACUUUUACUGCACACUAAAGUCCAUCUUUUAAAGUAA